AUACGGAGGAUCCGAGCGUUAUCCGGAUUUAUUGGGUUUAAAGGGUGCGUAGGUGGGAUAUUAAGUCAGCUGUGAAAGUUUGGGGCUCAACCUUAAAAUUGCAGUUGAUACUGGUUUCCUUGAGUACGGUAUAGGUGGGCGGAAUUCGUGGUGUAGCGGUGAAAUGCUUAGAUAUCACGAAGAACUCCGAUCGCGAAGGCAGCUCACCGGGCCGGAACUGACACUGAUGCUCGAAAGUGCGGGUAUCAAACAGGAUUAGAUACCCUGGUAGUCCGCACAGUAAACGAUGAAUACUCGCUGUUUGCGAUACACUGUAAGCGGCCAAGCGAAAGCGUUAAGUAUUCCACCUGGGUAGUACGCCGGCAACGGUGAAACUCAAAGGAAUUGGCGGGG
rnacentral:rRNA from 1 species